rnacentral:rRNA from 1 species
AUUGAACGCUGGCGGCAGGCCUAACACAUGCAAGUCGAGCGGAUGAAGGGAGCUUGCUCCUGGAUUCAGCGGCGGACGGGUGAGUAAUGCCUAGGAAUCUGCCUGGUAGUGGGGGAUAACGUCCGGAAACGGGCGCUAAUACCGCAUACGUCCUGAGGGAGAAAGUGGGGGAUCUUCGGACCUCACGCUAUCAGAUGAGCCUAGGUCGGAUUAGCUAGUUGGUGGGGUAAAGGCCUACCAAGGCGACGAUCCGUAACUGGUCUGAGAGGAUGAUCAGUCACACUGGAACUGAGACACGGUCCAGACUCCUACGGUAGGCAGCAGUGGGGAAUAUUGGACAAUGGGCGAAAGCCUGAUCCAGCCAUGCCGCGUGUGUGAAGAAGGUCUUCGGAUUGUAAAGCACUUUAAGUUGGGAGGAAGGGCAGUAAGUUAAUACCGUGCUGUUUUGACGUUACCAACAGAAUAAGCACCGGCUAACUUCGUG